GAGGGAAAAAAAUUCACAUCUCUCUCUGUGGCGGAGCACACAUAUCUCCGGAGAACUUUUGGUGAUAAUCAAACCCCCCUUCCAUGUGCUUCUGGAACAACUUUUGGUGAAUGGUUUUCUACAUCUAAUGCUAGGACUCCAGUUGUCACAGGGGGAAAAGGUGGAUUUUCUGCAUCUAAUGCUAGCAUACUAUCCGCUUAAGGGUUUUUGACCGGGACCGGGAGGGCUUCAAGGCUGUUUUGGAUGAGACUAUUUUGGAUUAGAGAAGCCCUAGACAGAGACCUCCUAGGGUAGAAGAGUGCCAGGGAUUUUGUAGCUUGAAUUUGCUUAUGAGAGUUCUUCGUGGCGGGGCAAGGACCAAAUAAACUUCUACUUUGGCCAAAGAUAUUAUCAGUUACUAUGAGAGUCCUUCAUAGAGAUGCAGAAGAGAACAGAGUAUCUUUCAAUCCGAGGCCAUAUACAUAUCAACAGCAAGAAAUGAUAGGUCCUGUGAAGUUUGAUGCAGAUGGAAUGACAAGGACCUUGAACUGGAACUAAUCCCCUCAGUUGAGAGACAAUGUGUCACCGAAAGUUGCUGAAACCAAUUAGUAUUUUUAGUAACAGUGGUUGCUCUUCCAUUUGGGUAUUUUAAAUUUAAAAAUGCUAGGUAUAACAAAUUUGGGUAUUUAUUUGCUAUGCAGUUAACUAUCUACGAUUUCCCCCUUCUUUGUUGAAAAAAAGAAGGUUAGGCUCCUGUAAUAAAAGCCCUAAAGAAGUGUAUGUCGGUGAUGACACAUGUGGCUUUCGAUAAAGAGGGUCAAUUUGG